GCGCAGCAGGGAGAAUAGUCUACAAUGGACGAGAGUCUGAUAGUGCGACGCCGUGUGUGCGAUUAAUUCCUUCGGGAUGUAAAGCUACUUUUCUAUGAGAUAAAAGCUCUUUAGGUUAAUAGCUUAUUGAGACGGAUAUUAUUAUAGGAAUAAGCUCCGGCUAACUCCGUGCCAGCAGCCCGCGGUAAUACGGAAGGAGCGAGCGUUGUCCGGAUUUACUAGGCGUAAAGGGCUAGUAGGCGACUAAUUAAGUUAUAUGUUAAAUCCCACGGCUCAACUGUGGUCCUGCAUGUAAUACUGGUUAGAUAGAGUACUGUAGAGGAAGACAGAAUUCCUGGAGUAGCGGUGGAAUGCGCAGAUAUCAGGAAGAAUAACCAAAAG
rnacentral:rRNA from 1 species